rnacentral:rRNA from 1 species
GACGAACGCUGGCGGCGUGCUUAACACAUGCAAGUCGAACGGAAAGGCCUGCUUUCCCUUGUGGAUUGCGGGUACUCGAGUGGCGAACGGGUGAGUAACACGUGAGUGAUCUGCCCCCAACUUGGGUAUAAGCCUGGGAAACUGGGUCUAAUUCCCGAUAGGACUGCAGGGUGGUGCCUGUGGUGGAAAACGAUUUUCUAGUGGUUGGGGAUGAGCUCGCGGCCUAUCAGCUUGUUGGUGGGGGAAUGACCUACCAAGGCGGCGACGGGUAGCCGGCCUGAGAGGGUGGACGGCCACAUUGGGACUGAGAUACGGCCCAGACUCCUACGGGAGGCAGCAGUGGGGAAUAUUGCACAAUGGGCGGAAGCCUGAUGCAGCGACGCCGCGUGGGGGAUGACGGCCUUCGGGUUGUAAACUCCUUUCGACCGCGAGGAAGCCACCUGGUUGGAAGGGUGGUGACGGUAGUGGUAGAAGAAGCACCGGCUAACUACGUG